GGCCUGUGAGGGUUGCUGGAGGUAUCAGAAGUGCGAAUGCUGACAUAAGUAACGAUAAAGCGGGUGAAAAGCCCGCUCGCCGGAAGACCAAGGGUUCCUGUCCAACGUUAAUCGGGGCAGGGUGAGUCGACCCCUAAGGCGAGGCUGAAAAGCGUAGUCGAUGGGAAACAGGUUAAUAUUCCUGUACUUGGUGUUACUGCGAAGGGGGGACGGAGAAGGCUAGGCUAGCCGGGCGACGGUUGUCCCGGUUUAAGCGUGUAGGGGGUGUGACCUGGUAAAUCCGGUUGCAUAUCAACCCUGAGGCGUGAUGACGAUGCACUACGGUGCAGAAGUAGUUGAUGCCCUGCUUCCAGGAAAAGCCUCUAAGCUCCAGGUAACAUUGAAUCGUACCCCAAACCGACACAGGUGGUCAGGUAGAGAAUACCAAGGCGCUUGAGAGAACUCGGGUGAAGGAACUAGGCAAAAUGGUGCCGUAACUUCGGGAGAAGGCACGCUGGCAUGUAGGUGAAGUCCCUUGCGGAUGGAGCUGAAGCCAGUCGAAGAUACCAGCUGGCUGCAACUGUUUAAUAAAAACACAGCACUGUGCAAACACGAAAGUGGACGUAUACGGUGUGACGCCUGCCCGGUGCUGGAAGGUUAAUUGAUGGGGUCAGCCGCAAGGCGAAGCUCUUGAUCGAAGCCCCAGUAAACGGCGGCCGUAACUAUAACGGUCCUAAGGUAGCGAAAUUCCUUGUCGGGUAAGUUCCGACCUGCACGAAUGGCGUAAUGAUGGCCAGGCUGUCUCCACCCGAGACUCAGUGAAAUUGAACUCGCUGUGAAGAUGCAGUGUACCCGCGGCAAGACGGAAAGACCCCGUGAACCUUUACUAUAGCUUGACACUGAACAUUGAGCCUUGAUGUGUAGGAUAGGUGGGAGGCUUUGAAGCGUGGACGCCAGUCUGCGUGGAGCCAUCCUUGAAAUACCACCCUUUAAUGUUUGAUGUUCUAACUCGGCCCCAUAAUCUGGGGUGAGGACAGUGUCUGGUGGGUAGUUUGACUGGGGCGGUCUCCUCCCAAAGAGUAACGGAGGAGCACGAAGGUUAGCUAAUCACGGUCGG
rnacentral:rRNA from 1 species